rnacentral:rRNA from 1 species
CCUACGGGAGGCUGCAGUGAGGAAUAUUGGUCAAUGGGCGCUAGCCUGAACCAGCCAAGUAGCGUGAAGGAUGACUGCCCUAUGGGUUGUACACUUCUUUUAUCUGGGAAUAAAGUGCAGUAUGUAUACUGCUUUGCAUGUACCUUAUGAAUAAGGAUCGGCUAACUCCGUGCCAGCAGCCGCGGUAAUACGGAGGAUCCGCGUGUUCUCCGGAUUUAUUGGGUUUAAAGGGAGCGUAGGCGGGGUGUUAAGUCAGUGGUGAAAGUUUGCGGCUCAACCGUAAAAUUGCAGUUGAUACUGGCAGCCUUGAGUACAGUAGAGGUAUGCGGAAUGCGUGGUGUAGCGGUGAAAUGCUUAGAUAUCACGAAGAACUCCGAUUGCGAAGGCAGCAUGCUGGACUGGAACUGACGCUGAUGCUCGAAAGGGUGGGUAUCAAACAGGAUUAGAUACCCCAGUAGUC